rnacentral:misc_RNA from 1 species
UAACGCGAAGAACCUUACCUAAACUUGACAUCCUUUUGACCGGAGGGUAAUGCCUCCCUCACUAGCUUGCUAGUGCAAAAGUGACAGGUGGUGCAUGGUUGUCGUCAGCUCGUGUCGUGAGAUGUUGGGUUAAGUCCCGCAACGAGCGCAACCCCUAUCUUUAGUAGCCAUCAUUAAGUUGGGCACUCUAGAGAGACUGCCAGGGAUAACCUGGAGGAAGGUGGGGAUGACGUCAAAUCAUCAUGCCCCUUAUGUUUAGGGCUACACACGUGCUACAAUGGGUGCUACAAAGGGAAGCAAAUCCGCGAGGCCGAGCAAAUCUCAAAAAAGCACUCCCAGUUCGGAUUGUAGUCUGCAACUCGACUACAUGAAGUUGGAAUCGCUAGUAAUCGCGAAUCAGAAUGUCGCGGUGAAUACGUUCCCGGGUCUUGUACACACCGA